UUACGCCUACGGGGCGCAGCAGUAGGGAAUAUUGCUCAAUGGGGGAAACCCUGAAGCAGCGACGCCGCGUGGAGGAUGAAGGUUUUCGGAUUGUAAACUCCUUUUGUUAGAGAAGAUAAUGACGGUAUCUAACGAAUAAGCACCGGCUAACUCCGUGCCAGCAGCCGCGGUAAUACGGAGGGUGCAAGCGUUACUCGGAAUCACUGGGCGUAAAGAGUGCGUAGGCGGGGUAAUAAGUCAGAUGUGAAAUCCUGUAGCUUAACUACAGAACUGCAUUUGAAACUGUUACUCUGGA
rnacentral:rRNA from 1 species